UAGUGGCGAACGGGUGAGUAACACGUGGGCAAUCUGCCCUUCACUCUGGGACAAGCCCUGGAAACGGGGUCUAAUACCGGAUAAUACCUUCCUCUGCAUGGGGGUGGGUUGAAAGCUCCGGCGGUGAAGGAUGAGCCCGCGGCCUAUCAGCUUGUUGGUGGGGUGAUGGCCUACCAAGGCGACGACGGGUAGCCGGCCUGAGAGGGCGACCGGCCACACUGGGACUGAGACACGGCCCAGACUCCUACGGGAGGCAGCAGUGGGGAAUAUUGCACAAUGGGCGAAAGCCUGAUGCAGCGACGCCGCGUGAGGGAUGACGGCCUUCGGGUUGUAAACCUCUUUCAGCAGGGAAGAAGCGCAAGUGACGGUACCUGCAGAAGAAGCGCCGGCUAACUACGUGCCAGCAGCCGCGGUAAUACGUAGGGCGCGAGCGUUGUCCGGAAUUAUUGGGCGUAAAGAGCUCGUAGGCGGCUUGUCGCGUCGGAUGUGAAAGCCCGGGGCUUAACCCCGGGUCUGCAUUCGAUACGGGCAGGCUAGAGUUCGGUAGGGGAGAUCGGAAUUCCU
rnacentral:rRNA from 1 species